rnacentral:rRNA from 1 species
CAUGCAGUCGAGCGGCAGCACAGAGAAACUUGUUUCUCGGGUGGCGAGCGGCGGACGGGUGAGUAAUGCCUGGGAAAUUGCCCUGAUGUAGGGGAUAACCAUUGGAAACGAUGGCUAAUACCACAUGAUGCCUACGGGCCAAAGAGGGGGACCUUCGGGCCUCUCGCGUCAGGAUAUGCCCAGGUGGGAUUAGCUAGUUGGUGAGGUAAGGGCUCACCAAGGCGACGAUCCCUAGCUGGUCUGAGAGGAUGAUCAGCCACACUGGAACUGAGACACGGUCCAGACUCCUACGGGAGGCAGCAGUGGGGAAUAUUGCACAAUGGGCGCAAGCCUGAUGCAGCCAUGCCGCGUGUGUGAAGAAGGCCUUCGGGUUGUAAAGCACUUUCAGUAGGGAGGAAGGUGGUAGUGUUAAUAGCGCUAUCAUUUGACGUUACCUACAGAAGAAGCACCGGCUAACUCCGUGCCAGCAGCCGCGGUAAUACGGAGGGUGCGAGCGUUAAUCGGAAUUACUGGGCGUAAAGCGCAUGCAGGUGGUUUGUUAAGUCAGAUGUGAAAGCCCCGGGCUCAACCUGGGAAUUGCAUUUGAAACUGGCAAACUAGAGUACUGUAGAGGGGGGUAGAAUUUCAGGUGUAGCGGUGAAAUGCGUAGAGAUCUGAAGGAAUACCGGUGGCGAAGGCGGCCCCCUGGACAGAUACUGACACUCAGAUGCGAAAGCGUGGGGAGCAAACAGGAUUAGAUACCCUGUAGUCCACGCCGUAAACGAUGUCUACUUGGAGGUUGUGGUCUUGAGCCGUGCUUUCGGAGCUAACGCGUUAAGUAGACCGCCUGGGGAGUACGGUCGCAAGAUUAAAACUCAAAGGAAUUGACGG